GACGAACGCUGGCGGCGUGCUUAACACAUGCAAGUCGAACGGAAAGGCCCUGCUUUUGUGGGGUGCUCGAGUUGCGAACGGGUGAGUAACACGUGAGUAACCUGCCCUUGACUUUGGGAUAACUUCAGGAAACUGGGGCUAAUACCGGAUAUGAGCUCCUGCUGCAUGGGGGGGGUGGGAAAGUUUCGGCGGUUGGGGAUGGACUCGCGGCUUAUCAGCUUGUUGGUGGGGUAGUGGAUUACCAAGGCUUUGACGGGUAGCCGGCCUGAGAGGGUGACCGGACACAUUGGGACUGAGCUAAGGCCCAGACUACUACGGGAGGCAGCAGUGGGGAAUAUUGCACAAUGGGAGGAAGCCUGAUGCAGCAACGCCGCGUGCGGGAUGACGGCAUUCGGGUUGUAAACCGCUUUCGCCUGUGACGAAGCGUGAGUGACGGUAAUGGGUAAAGAAGCACCGGCUAACUACGUG
rnacentral:rRNA from 1 species